CCGACGCCCUCGCUCCAGGCCGGUUCAGAAUUUGCAAAAAGGAGCGGACUCCCUGCUCUCCCAGAUAUAAUGAAUGCCUCUAAUGGAAUGGAAAGAGGAGAACAAUUUGUUCCACUGGCCAUGAAAUGGCAGCUGAAGCACGAUCAUGUGUGGACUCUCUUGUUUGGCCUUCAGAUGUCUUCAUCAUCCGCCCUCCCCACCCCUGCAUGUUUUCCUUCUUUCCUUGGCUAUAACGCUCCACCUGCCAGCCCUGUGGCCUUGCACUAUCCCAGAUUCCUGGAAGGAUCUUCCCCUUCGCCUCCACUUCUGUGUUUCCAUGGCUUUCUUGAGCCUCACAGGGAGUUGCUCCUGCUUCCUCCAGGAGGCCUUCCCUAGUCCUCCCAGCUGCUGAUGCCACCCCUCGGAGAUUUCCUCCCAUCUCUCCUGGGUAGCUCUCAUCGGAACCUAGCCAUUGACAUGUUGUACCUCCCAACAGACUGUGAAGUCCUGGCUAGCAGGCAAAUGGCUUUUUUUCUUUCUUGGUAACUCCAGGACUUUGCACAGUACCUUGAGGGAAUACAGCAGGUGUUUAAUAAAUGCUUGUGAAAUUGAUACACCAACAAGUACAACCCAGCCUGAAUUGCUUGCCAGCUCUGGGAAGGAGAAGGGAAGAAGGGAGGGAGACAAUCUGAAUGACACAACUUCGGAAAACUUACUUGGAAGUUUGUUAUUAAAGUAAAGAUAAAUAAAAGUGAAAUAAUAAAUGGAUA